AACGCGAAGAACCUUACCUACCCUUGACAUCCUCGGAAUCUGCUAGAGAUAGCGGAGUGCCUUCGGGAGCCGAGAGACAGGUGCUGCAUGGCUGUCGUCAGCUCGUGUUGUGAGAUGUUGGGUUAAGUCCCGUAACGAGCGCAACCCCUGUCCUUAGUUGCCAACACGUAAAGGUGGGAACUCUAAGGAGACUGCCGGUGACAAACCGGAGGAAGGUGGGGAUGACGUCAAGUCAUCAUGGCCUUUAUGGGUAGGGCCACACACGUGCUACAAUGGUCGGUACAAAGGGAAGCGAACACGCGAGUGGGAGCAAAUCUCAGAAAACCGAUCGUAGUCCGGAUUGGAGUCUGGAACUCGACUCCAUGAAGUUGGAAUCGCUAGUAAUCGCGGAUCAGAACGCCGCGGUGAAUACGUUCCCGGGCCUUGUACACACCGACUGUAC
rnacentral:rRNA from 1 species